rnacentral:rRNA from 1 species
UGCCAGGAGCCGCGGUAAUACGGAGGGUGCAAGCGUUGUUCGGAAUUAUUGGGCGUAAAGCGCGUGUAGGCGGUCUGUUAAGUCUGAUGUGAAAGCCUGGGGCUCAACCCCGGAAGUGCAUUGGAAACUGGCGAACUUGAGUACGGGAGAGGAAAGUGGAAUUCCGAGUGUAGGGGUGAAAUCCGUAGAUAUUCGGAGGAACACCAGUGGCGAAGGCGGCUCACUGGCUCGAUACUGACGCUGAGGUACGAAAGUGUGGGGAGCAAACAGGAUUAGAUA